rnacentral:rRNA from 1 species
UACGUAGGGGGCAAGCGUUGUCCGGAUUUAUUGGGCGUAAAGAGCGUGUAGGCGGCCAGGUAGGUCUGCUGUGAAAACUCGAGGCUUAACCUCGAGCUGUCGGCGGAAACCAUCUGGCUAGAGUCCGGAAGAGGAGAAUGGAAUUCCCGGUGGUAGCGGUGAAAUGCGCAGAUAUCGGGAAGAACACCCGUGGCGAAGGCGGUUCUCUGGGACGGUACUGGACGGCUGAGACGCGAAAGCGUGGGGAGCGAACAGG